rnacentral:tRNA from 1 species
GGCCAGUUAGCUCAGUUGGUUGGAGCGUGAUGCUGAUAACACCAAGGUCGCGGGUUCGAUUCCUGCUCGGUCCC